rnacentral:lncRNA from 1 species
CGGUCCGGAUCCAUUCCCUCCUCAAGCGCAAUCGGACAGUCGUGAUUAAACGCAAUGAACGUUCCAGAUUUAUUUUCUCUUUAAAUGUGAUCAGACUGUCGAGAUCAAAUCGCAAUGAACGGUCUAGAUUAAUUUUCACUUUGAACGCGAUCGGACGGUCGAGAUCAAAUGCGAUGAACGGUCCAGAUUUAAGCGAAUAAAUAUCACGCAUCACACCAAACUCAAACC